rnacentral:rRNA from 1 species
CAGCCGCCGCGGUAAUACCGGCGGCCCGAGUGGCGGUCACUAUUAUUGGGCUUAAAGCGUCCGUAGCCGGGUUGGGAAAUCCUCCGGGAAAUCUGGCCGCUUAACGGUCAGAAUGCCGGAGGAUACUCCCAGCCUAGGGAGCGGGAGAGGCCGAGGGGAUUCCCGGAGUAGGGGGGAAAUCCUAUAAUCCCGGGAGGACCACCUGUGGCGAAGGCGCUCGGCUGGAACGCGGCCGACGGUGAGGGACGAAGGCCAGGGGAGCAAACCGGAUUAGAUACCCGGGUAGUCCUGGCUGUAAACGAUGCGGACUUUGUGUCGGACAAGCUAUGAGCUUGUCCGGUGCCGGAGGGAAACCGUUAAGUCCGCCGCCUGGGGAGUACGGCCGCAAGGCUGAAACUUAAAGGAAUUGGCGGG